rnacentral:rRNA from 1 species
UGACGAGUUUGAUCCUGGCUCAGAUUGAACGCUGGCGGCAUGCUUUACACAUGCAAGUCGAACGGUAACAGGUUAAGCUGACGAGUGGCGAACGGGUGAGUAAUGCAUCGGAACGUGCCCGAUCGUGGGGGAUAACGCAGCGAAAGCUGCGCUAAUACCGCAUACGAUCUGAGGAUGAAAGCGGGGGACUCGCAAGAGCCUCGCGCGAUUGGAGCGGCCGAUAUCAGUAUUAGGUAGUU